GCAAGCGUUAUUCGGAAUAUAUUGGGCGUAAAGACGCGCGUAGGCGGCCUGUUAAGUCAGAUGUGAAAACCCCGGGCUCAACCCCGGAACUGCAYUUGAAACUGCCAGRCUUGAGUACGGGAGAGGGAAGUGGAAUUCCCGGUGUAGCGGUGAAAUGCGUAGAUAUCCGGAGGAACACCAGUGGCGAAGGCGGCCUCCUGGC
rnacentral:rRNA from 1 species